CCCAGGGCCGCAGUCGCGUCGGCUAGCCUGCGAGUCUCAGAGGAAAAAGGGGCUCCAGAAGUGCGUGCCCCGGGCCGCUCACCCGGCGCUGCAGUUGUGGGGAGAAGAGAAUAGAGGAGUGAAGAAGGGUGCAUUUUCCAUCUCACCUCAGUCCUCGGCUAGGAAAACCACGUAGCCCUGACCAGUGGGCUCAAGGCCCUGCUGGAAACUGGUUCUGAGUGUAUAUGUCUCAGCUUGAGAUGAGAAAAUGAGAACAAGUAACAAGCAUAUUUUUUCAACUCAGGCCAGGCCAGAGUUGUGGAGAAGAGGAAGAAGAGCAAGACAGGGGGUCUUUUCUAAAGUGCAGGUUAGGGGCUUCCCUGGUGGCGCAGUGGUUAAGAAUCUGUCUGCCAAUUCA